rnacentral:lncRNA from 1 species
AUGCUGAGUAUCUUUUGUUCAUAUCAUUCUUCAUCUGCAUACAGAAAAGGGGGUAUCCUGUUCUCCCAAUUACAUAAACACAAAAAAUACAAGAUCAUACUAUACAUUCCUUUUUGUAACUUGCUUUUUCACUUACCAACAUAUAAUAAACAAUAAAUUUUAUUUCAGAAAAUAUGCUUCUGUUAUGGCUAGUGGCUUCACUGGAAUCUGUUUAUCUAAAUGAUACACAAUUUAUUUAAUCACCUAUUGUUGAACAUGUACAUUUUCUUAUUUUAUGCUACCAACAAUAAGCCAAUUAAGUAAUUCUUGUAGCCAAUUUUUUGCACAGACACUUAUUUCCUUAGGGAAAUUGCCAGAGGCAAAAAUACUGAGUCAUCCAUUCCAUUUUAACUUACAAAAACAGUUAUGAUUUAUAGUGCAGAAAUUACCAGAAAGAUAAAAUUACAUACCUAAGCUAACUUAGUGGCGAAAUUUUAUCACAAAUCCAGGUUUCUUCAUUUCAUGUCCAGGGUCCUUUGUACUGUCCAGUCAUCUGCAGCUUUUUUAAGCCAGCAUGCUUGGCUCUGGCAACAAGUGCAAGGCACCACACAGGAGAGAGAUUCCAGAACAAUAUUGCUAUUCAUAGCUUUAGUUCUGAGAUGCUGUCCUCAACUUGUUCUUUAUACCUGAUUACAUUCUUCCCAGAUCUUCCUAUACAUGGGCCUUGCUAUUGAGGCUGUUGUUUUAGUUUUGUUGUUGUUUCUUCAUUUUGACCUUUAAGAGCGACACACUCAUUUCUUACGUAUCUUUUAGGUUUGAAAGUCCUGAUAGAGCUACUCAGCCUAAAUUAUCGGUUUCAGAACUACUGUAUAGAUCAGAGAGAAUGACACAAGAAUGCAAAAGGAUCCAUUUUUCUUUAUAACCCCACCUUAGCUGUUAUUUUUGUUAUAUGGGUACUAGCA